GCUCAAGUAGCUCAGUCGGUAGAGCACCUCCUUGGUAAGGAGGAGGUCAUCGGUUCAAGUCCGAUCUUGAGCUCCA
rnacentral:tRNA from 3 species